rnacentral:rRNA from 1 species
GUAGUACUAGGAUGGUGACCUCCUGGAAAGUCCUCGUGUUGCACCCGU